rnacentral:rRNA from 1 species
UACGUAGGGGGCAAGCGUUGUCCGGAUUUAUUGGGCGUAAAGAGCGUGUAGGCGGCUAGGUAGGUCCGUUGUGAAAACUCGAGGCUCAACCUCGAGACGUCGAUGGAAACCAUCUAGCUAGAGUCCGGAAGAGGAGAGUGGAAUUCCUGGUGUAGCGGUGAAAUGCGCAGAUAUCAGGAAGAACACCCGUGGCGAAGGCGGCUCACUGGACCGGAACUGACGCUGAGGCGCGAAAGCGUGGGGAGCGAACAGG